rnacentral:rRNA from 1 species
GACGAACGCUGGCGGCGUGCUUAACACAUGCAAGUCGAACGGAAAGGCCCUGCUUUUGUGGGGUGCUCGAGUGGCGAACGGGUGAGUAACACGUGAGUAACCUGCCCUUGACUUUGGGAUAACUUCAGGAAACUGGGGCUAAUACCGGAUAGGAGCUCCUGCUGCAUGGUGGGGGUUGGAAAGUUUCGGCGGUUGGGGAUGGACUCGCGGCUUAUCAGCUUGUUGGUGGGGUAGUGGCUUACCAAGGCUUGGACGGGUAGCCGGCCUGAGAGGGGGACCGGCCACAUUGGGACUGAGAUACGGCCCAGACUCCUACGGGAGGCAGCGGUGGGGAAUAUUGCACAAUGGGCGGAAGCCUGAUGCAGCAACGCCGCGUGCGGGAUGACGGCCUUCGGGUUGUAAACCGCUUUCGCCUGUGACGAAGCGUGAGUGACGGUAAUGGGUAAAGAAGCACCGGCUAACUACGUG